GAGUGUUUAGCUCAGUGGUAGAGCGCAUGCCUAGCAUGCAUGAGGUCCUGGGUUCAAUCUCCAAUACCUCCA
rnacentral:tRNA from 1 species